GAAUCUACAAUUCCCAUAUAGCAAGCUGAUGAAGCCAUUGGAGAUCAUUUGUCUUCUUUCGCCUUUCAAAGCUCUAGCACAACAACUGUUCAUUCAUAGCAGAGAACGAAAGUCAAGUCAGUUCCUCAUCUCUUUUUUGUUCUAUAAUAAUUUUUUAUAAGUGAUCAGUUUGAUGAAAAUGGGGAUUACAAUCUUACAUUCAGAAUCUGUAGUGAUCCAGCUUCCUCUUCUUGGAUAAUAUUGAUUGAUUUCAUGAAUGGCAGUGGAAUUCAGAGUAAUGGAACAGUUCUUGAAGGGAGACACCGCCGACAUAGAUGAGUAAGCUGAGGAAAUGGAGGAGCAGCUUUCAGCUUCCCAUCUAAAACUGAUCUUGGGGGAGUCGUUACUCUCUUGAUCAUCGUUCAAGCCUG
rnacentral:lncRNA from 1 species